rnacentral:tRNA from 1 species
GAGGGUGUAGCUCAGUGGUAGAGCACAUGCUCAGCAUGCACGAGGUCCUGGGUUCAAUCCACAGUACCUCCA